ACGGGUGAGUAACGCGUGGGAACGUGCCCCUUGGUACGGAAUAGCCCCGGGAAACUGGGAGUAAUACCGUAUGAGCUCUACGGAGGAAAGAUUUAUCGCCAAGGGAUCGGCCCGCGUUGGAUUAGGUAGUUGGUGGGGUAAUGGCCUACCAAGCCGACGAUCCAUAGCUGGUUUGAGAGGAUGAUCAGCCACACUGGGACUGAGACACGGCCCAGACUCCUACGGGAGGCAGCAGUGGGGAAUCUUAGACAAUGGGCGCAAGCCUGAUCUAGCCAUGCCGCGUGAGCGAUGAAGGCCUUAGGGUUGUAAAGCUCUUUCAGCGAGGAAGAUAAUGACUGUACUCGCAGAAGAAGCCCCGGCUAACUCCGUGCCAGCAGCCGCGGUAAUACGGAGGGGGCUAGCGUUGUUCGGAAUUACUGGGCGUAAAGCGCACGUAGGCGGACUGGAAAGUCAGGGGUGAAAUCCCGGGGCUCAACCCCGGAACUGCCUUUGAAACUCCCAGUCUUGAGGUCGAGAGAGGUGAGUGGAAUUCCGAGUGUAGAGGUGAAAUUCGUAGA
rnacentral:rRNA from 1 species